UUAAAACUACCGACCAAGAACGAAGAAUUUAUAUCUCUGGCUGCUAAGAAAGAAGCGCACUAGUGUGAAAUCAGAGAUCGGUUGAACGAGCAGUGGACAUUUAUAUUUCCGAAACAACGAAGUUAAAUUAUUUAAUUUGGAAAGUAUUACACCGCAAACUGCUGAAGAACUGGCGGCAAAUUUUGAAAGAAAAUCUCGACGAUUAACUAUCCGGAUAUUCUGCGAUCGUUAGCGCUAGACGCGCGCCGUCCGCGCGGACGGCAUACGCCGCGAGUAUUCGGCACUCAAAGGGUCGAGAACUCGAAUUUCGCUGCACCUACGACGAUGACGCUCUUACGUCGUUACGAAAUGAAGAGAAUAUCUUGGUCGAAGUAGCAAAGGAAGACUUCGCGCGUUCGAAAGACGGAAACGAGGAGUAUUACGAUAAGAAGUCCAAGGCAGUAAAGUUUCAAGCAAACGAUCUCGUUUUCACGUAGCAAGAGCGAACUAGGGCAGCUUUGGAUGGAAAGUUGUCGGGUAACUUCAAG
rnacentral:misc_RNA from 1 species